rnacentral:snRNA from 1 species
CGUCCACUGCUGUAAGCGGG